UCAUUGGUUUAAUAUACCUUCGAUUUCUUGGUUCAUAUAUAUAUAUAUAUAUAUGAACCAAGAAAUCGAAGGUAUAUGUUAUAUCG
rnacentral:miRNA from 1 species